rnacentral:rRNA from 1 species
UACGGAGGGUGCAAGCGUUAUCCGGAUUCACUGGGUUUAAAGGGAGCGUAGGCGGGCAGGUAAGUCAGUGGUGAAAUCUCCGAGCUUAACUUGGAAACUGCCGUUGAUACUAUCUGUCUUGAAUAUCGUGGAGGUAAGCGGAAUAUGUCAUGUAGCGGUGAAAUGCUUAGAUAUGACAUAGAACACCAAUUGCGAAGGCAGCUUACUACGCGGUUAUUGACGCUGAGGCUCGAAAGCGUGGGGAUCAAACAGG